rnacentral:rRNA from 1 species
AUUGAACGCUGGCGGCAGGCCUAACACAUGCAAGUCGAACGAGUGGCGGACGGGUGAGUAAUGUAUGGGAAUCUGGCUGAUGGAGGGGGAUAACUACUGGAAACGGUAGCUAAUACCGCAUACCAUCGGCUGAGCCCAUAUGGGAUUAGCGAGUAGGUGAGGUAAAGGCUAACACAGCCGACUAUCUCUAGCUGGUCUGAGAGGAUGAUCAGCCACACUGGGACUGAGACACGGCCCAGACGCCUACGGGAGGCAGCAGUGGGGAAUAUUGCACAAGGGGGGCAACCCUGAGGCAGCCAUGCCGCGUGUAUGAAGAAGGCCUUCGGGUUGUAAAGUACUUUCGGUAGCGAGGCGUUACCUACAGAAGAAGCACCGGCUAACUCCGUGCCAGCAGCCGCGGUAAUUC